GCGGGUAUAGUUCAACGGUAGAACGUCAGCCUUCCAAGCUGAACACGGGGGUUCGAUUCCCCCUACCCGCUCCA
rnacentral:tRNA from 2 species